GUUCUAUAAAAUUGUCAACAAACGCCAGAAACACAUUAUAAACCAUUAAUAAUAAUUAUUAAUGUAAUUGACAUGUUGCCUCAGAAAAUAACAAUAAUUUUAUAACGAUUUAUAAGUGUCAAACUGUCCACCGGGAAAUGUCAAACGGAUGAAAAUUGUUCGGUUGCAACCCGUGUCGAAAAUUGGUCAACUUCAAAAAGAUUUAAUUAUCCAUCGCAUAAUUAUAUGAUCUCUUCAGCCCCAAAGAAAAGGUGCUGGAAAGAGACUCGGAGAUAAUGAGAUGAUCAACGAGGUUAAUGUUAAACACGGUAUUCCUAUGAUUGAUGAACGUUCAGUUGCAACAUAUGUCGAAAACAAAUUCAAACUUAACGAACCAAAUGGACGAGCCAACAAUUAAAAUUGAAGAAGGUGAGACCGUCGAUUAUUACUACAAGAUUAUAUUUGAAAUAGAAUAAUAAGCAAUUGAAGGAGCAACAAAAAACGAUCGACGGGAAUGCAUACAAUGUCUGAGAAUCUUGCAUUGAUAAAUAUGGAAAAGUUGAAGUUAAAAGCAAUGGUCUAUUGAAUUCGCAAAAACAACAAACUCCAAAAUACUUUUAGUGACAAUCGUUCGAGAAAUGAAGUGAAUAAAAAAACUGAUGGUCCUUAUUUUGAAUCGAGGAUUGAAACAGAAAAUAAUACAAAAACAGCAACAAACUCCAACAAUGAAGAUUUAACAAGCCGGCGGUUUUUUAAAUUGUUGAAGAAUCUUACAUUGAUACUAAAGUUAAAGGCUAAGUUCAAAAUAGUGGUUUUUUGUAUUUACAAGUAACAAACUACAAAAAUACUUUUAGUAACAAUCGUACGAGAAAUGAAGUGAAUAAAAAAACUGAUGGUCGUUAUUUUGAAUCGAGGAUUGAAACAGAAAAUAAUACAAAAUCAGCAACAAACUCCAACAAUGAAGAUAUAACAAGCCGGCGGUUUUUUCAAUGUAAAUUAUGUCAAAAAAUAUACCCUAAAAACAAAUAACUUUACGUAUAUUAAAAUCCCACCAAAUUUCAACGGAUAAACACUGUCCUCAAAAAUUCAGCACUAUACAUCGCAAUAAGUUUACUAAGACAUACGUGAACAUCAGCCGACCCUAUAAAUGUGACGUCUGCCUUAAGCACUUUUCUAAAAGUAUGAAUAGUCAUACAAGUUCAUAUACCUAAUUUAUAGUAGAAUUGCCUACUAAAAUGUGGCAACUAUUAUUGUGAUUGCUGUAUAAAUAAUUACUAUUUUUAUUCUUAUUACAUCAAAUAUUUAUUUUAAUUCUAGUACUAUUAUAUAUGAAAACAAUGUUAACUGUUGAUAUGUACUAUCAUUAUUUUUAUUAUAUUUAUUGAUAGGGUUUAAACUUUUGUAUGAUAAAAUAUGUGUUGUGUUGUCUUAUUUAUUACUUUAAGUUAUGUAAAUAGUUUAGAAAAUAAUGAAAGGUAUGUAAUAUGAAAGGUAACCCAUAACAAUCGGGUAACAUUGUAUUAUUAUGUCAACUUGGUUGUACUAAUUUAUUAUUUUUAUUGUGAAAAUUGGUUGUUGUUGCUAUAAGGUGAUUACCAAAAUUGAAUUAUAACUUUGUCAAAACAUUUUUUUUUUUUGAAUGUACAGUAAUAAAAAAAGCCAAGUUAAAGUAUAGUUAGCUGUUCAAUCAACAAUAUAAUUUUUUAAUAACCAUACAUUUUUCGGUGGCGAUUUCAUCACAAUGUUCAGUUAAUAAAAAAGCUAUGUUAAAAAUUAGUAACAACCAUAUUGAUAAUAUUUAAAACGAAGAAUAAUUAACCUUAUUACUAAUGAACACCGUAUUAAAUGUUUACAACAAUUUCAGUAUUAUAUGUAAUAAUCCUUUCACAUUUGAUGUACUUUUAACAAUUUGAUUCCUGGAUUAAAGCAGAAACUUCUCAUUAUAUUCUUUGCUGACUUUUCGGUAUUUCUAGCGUUUUUUCGAUUUGUUUUAAUAUAAUAACGGACUUAAGAUAUCCAUUAGCUAUGUUGGAACACUUUGUUUUUUCCUUUGUUAGGCUAGAAUAUCCAUAACAUAUUUUACAAUAACGUUAAGUGAUUAUAUCCGUAUUAACGCAUUCCCUACCAAUAACAUUGGAAAAAAAAUUCCUUUUAAAAAUUCUUCUCCCCUCGUUUCCUAUACUUUUAAAUCUUUGCACUUAUUUGUAA